rnacentral:rRNA from 1 species
CCUACGGGAGGCAGCAGUGAGGAAUAUUGGUCAAUGGGCGCGAGCCUGAACCAGCCAAGUAGCGUGAAGGAUGACUGCCCUACGGGUUGUAAACUUCUUUUAUAAAGGAAUAAAGUGAGGCACGUGUGCCUUUUUGUAUGUACUUUAUGAAUAAGGAUCGGCUAACUCCGUGCCAGCAGCCGCGGUAAUACGGAGGGUCCGAGCGUUAUCCGGAUUGAUUGGGUUUAAAGGGAGCGUAGAUGGGUUGUUAAGUCAGUUGUGAAAGUUUGGGGCUCAACCGUAAAAUUGCAAUUGAUACUGGCAGUCUUGAGUACAGUUGAGGUAGGCAGAAUUCGUGGUGUAGCGGUGAAAUGCUUAGAGAUCACGAAGAACUCCGAUUGCGAAGGCAGCUUACUAAACUGACACUGACAUUGAUGUUCGAAAGUGUGGGUAGCAAACAGGAUUAGAUACCCGAGUAGUC